GAGCGAACGCGGAUUAGCCCAAACCAAUAAAGUUUUCUUUAUUGGGGUUGCGGACAUAUCAUAACGAAGAGGUAUCGUAAUUGAAGAGGUUUGGAAAGACCCACCACAGAAGGUAAUAGUCCUGUAUGUUAAACGAGAAGACUUCAGAUAUGAUCCAGAGUACCACGGGACACGUGAAACCCUGUGGGAAGCAGGAGGGACCACCCUCCAAGGCUAAAUACUACCUAGUGACCGAUAGCGUAUAGUACCG
rnacentral:rRNA from 1 species